CAGUGCUGUGGCUUGAAUUUAGUAUGAGAAUAAUGCUGAUAACACACUGAUGUUUUAGUCGAUGCUCAACAGUGCUGACUCUGAGUCAAGGACUUUUAUACUACCCAUGCUCUGACAGCAGGUUGGUGUGCAAGAAACCAGGAUGAAGCAUAUCCAGGACAGCUGACCCAAACUGGCCAAAGGGAUAUUCCAUAUCUCAGAGCACCAUGCUCAGAGUACAAACUGGGGCAGUAAUCCAUGAUGGGGCCAAUCACUGCUGGGGGAUGGACUGGGCAUCGGUCAGCAGGUGGCGAGAAAUUGUGUAUCACUUAUACUUCUUGGGUUUUAUUUCUCUCUCUCUCUCACUCUCUCCUUUUCAUUACAACUACUAAUAAUUUCAUCGCUAUUAUAAUAAAUAUUAUCAUUAUUAAUGUUUUUAGUUUUAUUUUAUUUUGCUUAGUUUCAAUUCUUAAAUUGUUCUUAUCUCAACCCUCAAGGUUUAAUUUUUUUCUUUCAAAUUUUUUUCCCUCCAGAGGGGCCGGGAGGAAAAUGAGCAGCAUGAUGUGUGCUGGUUAGCUUCUGGCUGAGGUUUGACAACAAGAGUAGGUGAAGGUCCCAACCUUUAAAACACUUAAAAGAAGGGAUCCUCUUCUCCUUUCUCUUCCCCUUCAAGGAUCACUGAAUGAGCUUCCAGGGACACUGGCACAUUUGGGAAUUUCAAUGAAACCUCAGAAGGACAGGCUAAAUGCACAAACCUCACUGAGAGACAGCUGGAGCACAAAGGUGAGUAUUGCAUCAGAUCACUGAGGAGCACUCCAUGUUUCCAUUGAUGGAAUUUAGUUUUUCCUCUUUUUGGGUUGGAAGAGGUUCCUUUCUGCUCCCCACAAAGAUCUUCAGAAGCCAGGAACCGUCUUGAGGUGGUAAAAAUUCUCCCUAAAUAUCACUGCCCAGUUAUUAUUUGACUCCCACUUAACACUCUUCAAAAACUUUCAGUAAUCCCUAGGCCUAUACUGAUGGAGAGUUAAGGGCAUGAAAAGAAUUUGGGUAUCUCGAGGGACUUUGGAAAAAAUUCUCAGUGCUGCACAAAGCUGUAUUCUUUCUUUAGGCUGCAUCUGUGUAAGGGAAGGACCCACCUUGCAUUUCAUUUCAGUUAUGCUCGUUCUUAUAAGAAAAAAAAAAGUGCAGGGUGAGACGUGACCUACUUGAGAUGUAAAGAUAUGUAUAUUUAGGUCCACAGUUUCUUACUCAGUUUCAGGAUCCCCAGUGUUUUUUGUCCAUCUGUAUGAUUUAAAAACAAUUAGUAAUUUUAAUAAAAGCACACCAUUAAGUAAUGUUUCUUCCCUUUUGGUUGACCGUAUAAAUAGGUUACGUGUCUGAUACUAAUUGAUCAGGAGCUCAGUUUUAUGUUUUGAAACCAGGUCAGAUGUAGGAUAAACACAGAGUCUUUUCUUUCUAGGCCCAAUUCAAUUUGAAGGAGUUAGAGUUAAAUUUGAACAAUGAAGUAAUCUCUGGUAUUCCCAUUGUAGUGUGGAACUAGUAAAGCACAGAAAAUA